UACCAGCUCUCCGAGUGGUGUGGAUGUUUAUUGGGCCUAAAGCAUCCGUAGCUGGCUGGGCAAGUCCCCUGUUAAAUCCACCGAUUUAAUCGUUGGAGUGCGGGGGAUACUGUUCGGCUAGGGGGAUGGGAGAGGCAGACGGUAUUUUCGGGGUAGGGGUGAAAUCCUAUAAUCCCGGGAAGACCACCAGUGGCGAAGGCUGUCUGCUAGAACGCGCCCGACGGUGAGGGAUGAAAGCUGGGGGGAGCGAACCGGAUUAGAUACCCGGGUAGUCCCAGCUGUAAACGAUGCAGGCUAGGUGUUUGGGCGGCCACGUGCCGCUCUAGUGCCGCAGGGAAGCCGUUAAGCCUGCCGCCUGGGGAGUACGGCCGCAAGGCUAGAAACUUAAAGGAAUUGGCGGGGGAGCACCACAAGGGGUGAAGCUUGCGGUUU
rnacentral:rRNA from 1 species